UUAGAUUGAAUAACGGGGUAAUCACUGCCAGGUGCGCAGUGUAGUCUCGGCGCACAAGGCAUCCUUGGGACAACACUUUGAACCUAGGACGAAGGACGUUAGGGUAAGUCGCUUUGAGUCAUUUGUGUUGACUAUUCAUCAAUUGCAAGUUAAAUCAACAGAAAAUGUUUUGAAGCACAGUUUUAAAAUACAGGCCCAAAACGUUCAUCCUAAACGUUGAUUACUCGGGAACAAAUCGACGGACUUAAUCAACAAACUUGGAUCGUCAGACUCGUUAGCAGCCACAAAUCAGGAAAGGCAGUAAUCUUUUCAGCCUGCAAAGGCUAGCUAGAUCAUUACCUAACUUUCCAGGUCCUCGAUUCAGUCAAGAAACAAUUUGUUGGUGAGUUGUACGCCCAUCUUUGUUAGAUGAAAGAGUUGUUUUUAAGAUCAGUAUGCUGCCCUCGAAAAAUAGAUUUAGUGUCGUGUCGAAAGACGUUUCACGAUUCGUGUGCACUGGAUUGCUUCAUGGAAGUAGGAAUAUAAUUAUUUAUUUGUGCCACAUGUAUCAAAUUUAUUUGUAAAGAAUGAAUUAACUUCAAUCUUUGAUUUUCGAUGUAUGUUCAGAUUAAAAACUUGCGUUUCA